rnacentral:lncRNA from 1 species
GGCAACAAUAGGAGCAAAUAGGAGCACAUUUUUACGAUCACCGAGUGAUGUGUUCAUGACAAACUCAGUGAAUUGCUGGAAAGGAAUCUCAGAAAAAGUUGGCAAAGUCAUUUCAUUUUCAAACUGCCUCCAUUCUGGGAUAGAUGUGCUUAACUUUUUUUUUUUCUUUGUGGAUGAAUGACACAUUUUCUUCAACUCAAUUAAAUUUAGGACAUGCAUUUCAGCGAGGAAGAGAAACAACACAAUGAAGAAACUUAACCCAUUACUUCUGAAUUUGGCCAGAAACCUGAAAACCACUUUUUGCACAAGACUAGCAGGGAAAGAAACUGGAAGUUAAAAGCAUGGACCAGGACUGCCUUGGCGUCAGUGUUAGUGUCUCUAGUGCAGUCAGCUGUGUUAGAGAAAAAAAAGUAAUGGGAGGAAAUCAGGUUAGUUAGGUAUCAAUUGUCAGAUGAGCCUACCACAGAGUGCAAGUAGAGCAAAAGGUGUGUGGGUGUUUAAAGUUCUGUCUGUUCAGUAAACAAAGAGCUCAGGAAAUUCCUUGAUAGACCUCCUCCCCAGGGCACAGACCCUCCAUCAGCCCCAUUGGCAUUGGUAUUUUUGGGUCCAAUCUGGAAGUUCAUCACCUGAAGAGGAAGACAGGCACUGGUUCUCAUGUCUUGGAUGAGGACUGUCUUUUGCUGACAGUUCUUAGUUUCCAGUACUGAAAACGUGGGGCAAGGGAACGGUGGUUCACUUUUAGUUCCAGACUUCAUCUCAUUUAGAUCUGUGGGGAUUUGCUUACCUGAAAUGAGAGCAAGGAAACAUAAAACCAGGCAAACAUAUUCUCUGUGCCACCAUAAAGGAUGAAAUAAUGAGAACUGGAGGACCUCUAUAGGGGAAAGCCAAAUUAUCCCCGGGGCUGCACAUCCAAAACAAUGGCUGUGAUGAGCUGCUGCGGUGGCAAAAGCACUGCUGGAGUGGGAGCCUGCCAGCCUGGGAGGAGAGUCCUGCAAAGUGCUUCGUUUGGCAGCUCUGAGGAACGAGAGCAAGAUUUACCAGAGCCAGGGUGGCUCAGAAACUGUUUCUAAGAAAACAACCUCUAGAGUUAGCAGAAGACAGUGAAGGUGCAUCGAGAGCAGGGAUGAAAACCAGAGGGCUGAAUGGGAAGCGUAAUGCUGGCACCAAAGAUUCCCAGUGCGUGAGAGCCAGUCAUUCACUGAAAAUGGGAGUGUUGCCCUGACAUCCUCACUGCAUCCCAGAAAUGCAAUUUGAGUGAGGCACAGUCCUUUGGAGGGCCACGUCUGUGGGAGCCAUAUGUCACCCAGUGGGUACAGCCAGUCUUUGGAAAUUGGCUCAAGGGAUUUCUGCCUUUCUAAUGAGCGAUCGGGAACAAAGCAGAGAGAAAAUUCAGCAAAGCCCCAAGGAAAGGUCACUGCGUGCAUGCGAGCCUGCAGCAUGUUUUUGCCAUACACUUCUCCUGCAAGCUGAAGCUCCAGAUAAUUCAAGAAACAGAUGAGGUUAAAACAGCAAAGAGUGUGAAGAAUGAAAAAUGAGCACUCACAGCCUGAAUUAGAAAAGAGGAGAGCACCUUGUGGAGUGCAGAGCAGGUAAGGAAAACAGCAUUCCUGCAGUGUGUAAUACAGUGCAGAGAAAACAGAAUGGGAGAGUGGGGAGGGUGAGGCUGCUGUUAGAUAUAAGCUCAGAGUCAAUAGCGGUAUUUAAGAACCUGAAAUUGGAGUCAGGUAGGCAUUAAGUAUUGAAGUCUGGAACUGCCAUUCAGAAGCCCAUCAAUUCACUGCUUCCUCCCAGCAAUGACUCCCAGUCAGGUCAAGGAGCUCCCUUGGUAUUCGCAGGCCCUGCCCUGUUCUGGGCUGUCAGUCCAACAAGAUGGACAUCUCUGCACUAAGCAGCAGGCCUUGCUGGUUCAGCGGCAGGGUCAGGCUCUAUUUGCCUUGUCUCCUGCUACCCCCUGUGUGGGUGAUGGAGCACUGGCAGAGGCUGCCCAGAGGCUG